CGGGUUUCCGGAUAACGGAUGCUAUACCUGCAUUGCAAUAGACUUUUGUAUUUUGUUUGCACUGAUGAUUGCAUCUUAAACACGGUCCCUUGUAUCGGUUCCGGGCUAGCCUUUAUUCAUUAGCUUGCGCUGAGGAUGGCAAAUUAAAGGAUUGAUUGUUUUGCCUUAGAUUACCCUUUACUUCAUAAUCUGUGUGGUGUUUGUUUGCACCAAUGAAGGCCUAUUCAACGAUUGCUUUUAUUAAAUUGCCCUUUAAUUCCUUAUCUGUGUGACGUGCCUGCACAUGUAUGUGUUGCGAUAGACUUUUGUUUUUUGUUUGCACUGAUGAGUGCAUCUUGAAUGCCCCCCUGCAUUGGUUUAAGUCAUCCUUUAAUUCCGGAUGGGAUUGAAGCUCCUUUUUUUUAAAAAAAAAUACCUACUGAACAGGCACUGGCCGACGUGAGUACGCAGUGGGAGUGGUUCGGCUGUCUGGAUUACUUGCAUUUCUCAGCCUUGAGCCCCCCUGCGGAAGCGCGGCGAAGACAGCAAAAGGUAAGUGCUUUUUUCAUUCAUUGCACAUUCGCUAUUGUGGACCUAAAGUCGUCUUCAUUGACCGCUGCUAUUAUGUUGCCUUUUAAUUCCGUAUCUGUGUGAUGUUUAUCUGCACAUAUGUAUUGCAAUAGAGGUUUGGUUAUUUUUUGCACUGAUUAUUGCUUCUUGAAUGAACACUUGCUUUGGUUUAAGUUACCCUUUCAGCCCUUAUCUGAUUGACGUGUAUGAACAUAUGAACAUAUAUGUCCUUCAGUAGACUUUGGGAGAGUUUUUUUUUCACUCAUCUGUGCCUUUUUAAUGAUGGUUUAUGUGGCGUUCAUUUACCCUUUAAUUGCUUUUCUGUGUGAAGUAUAUUUGAACGUAUGUAUUAACCGAUUAUUGCAUCUUAAACGGUCCCUUGUUUCAGGUGCCCUUUAUUUGUUUGCUUACAUCCAUGAGGGUCCAUUGAAUGAUUACUUGUAUUGGCUUAAGUUACCCUUGAACUCUUAAUCUGUGUUUGGCCUCUUUGAUGAUCUCUUUUAUUACGUUGCCCUUUAAUUCCUUAUCUGUGUGAAGUACCUGUGCACAUAUGUGUCGCGAUAGAUGUUUUUGUUUGCACUGAUUCGUUCGUUGAAUACGUACCUGCAUUGGUUUAAGUCAUCCUUUAAUUCCGGAUGGGCUUGAAGCUCCUUUUU